AGAAUGAACGCUGGCGGCGUGCCUAACACAUGCAAGUCGCACGAGAACGGUUCCUUCGGGGGCCUAGUAAAGUGGCGGACGGGUGAGUAACGCGUGGGUAAUCUGCCCUUGAGUGGGGAAUAACUUGGGGAAACUUAAGCUAAUACCGCAUGAUAUUUCUGGGACUUCGGUCCCGGGACUCAAAGGUGGCGCAGUUCGACUGCUACCGCUCAAGGAGGAGCCCGCGUCCCAUUAGCUUGUUGGUGGGGUAAUGGCCUACCAAGGCAUCGAUGGGUAGCCGGCCUGAGAGGGUGAUCGGCCACACUGGAACUGAGACACGGUCCAGACUCCUACGGGAGGCAGCAGUGGGGAAUAUUGGGCAAUGGGCGAAAGCCUGACCCAGCGACGCCGCGUGAGCGAUGAAGGCCCUUGGGUCGUAAAGCUCUGUCAUGCGGGACGAAAUGUCUACAUCCUAAUACGGUGUAGGCUUGACGGUACCGCAGGAGGAAGCCCCGGCUAACUCCGUGCCAGCAGCCGCGGUAAUACGGAGGGGGCGAGCGUUAUUCGGAAUUAUUGGGCGUAAAGGGCAAGUAGGCGGCUUGGUGUGUCUUUUGUGAAAUCCCUCAGCUCAACUGAGGAACUGCAAGGGAAACUGCAAAGCUUGAGUCCGGGAGAGGGUAGUGGAAUUCCCAGUGUAGCGGUGAAAUGCGUAGAUAUUGGGAGGAACACCAGUGGCGAAGGCGGCUACCUGGACCGGUACUGACGCUGAUUUGCGAAAGCUAGGGGAGCGAACGGGAUUAGAUACCCCGGUAGUCCUAGCUGUAAACGAUGAACACUUGGUGUGGCGGGUAUCGACCCCUGCUGUGCCGGAGCUAACGCAUUAAGUGUUCCGCCUGGGGAGUACGGUCGCAAGGCUG
rnacentral:rRNA from 1 species